AGAGUUUGAUCAUGGCUCAGGAUGAACGCUGGCGGCGUGCUUAACACAUGCAAGUCGAACGAAGUCCAUGGAGCUUGCUCCGGAAGAUUUAGUGGCGAACGGGUGCGUAACACGUGAGAAACCUGCCCUGGACUUUGGGAUAACAGUUGGAAACGGCUGCUAAUACCGAAUGUCGUCUUUUUCCCGCAUGGGGAUUUGAUGAAAGGUCCGCCGGUCCGGGAGGGUCUCACGGCCUAUCAGCUUGUUGGGGGGGUAAUGGCUCACCAAGGCAUCGACGGGUAGCUGGUCUGAGAGGAUGAUCAGCCACACUGGGACUGAGACACGGCCCAGACUCCUACGGGAGGCAGCAGUGGGGAAUCUUGCACAAUGGGCGCAAGCCUGAUGCAGCAACGCCGCGUGCGGGAAGAAGGCCUUAGGGUUGUAAACCGCUUUCAGUAGGGAAGAAAAUGACGUACCUACAGAAGAA
rnacentral:rRNA from 1 species